UGAUUUAGUUAAUGAAUUAUGAGUGACUUCCUCACGCACGCUGUUAUUGUAACUGAACCACUGAGGACCAGGAAUGGUUAUUAAAAGUGGACCCACAAUGAUUAUGAUGACAGUACAGUACUGCCACUUUUUAAAGGGCUGCACCAGCAAGUAGGCCUGAGGCAACUUCUCAACCUGUGAACAAUAGGAAGUCAGUCAAAGCUAAGUGGCGCCACCUGAGCUAUGACAUAAUCAUGAUGGUCAACAGGUAGUGGAGACAAGAUAAAAGUCAUUGCAUUGCCCACCUCAAGGCCAAACAACUAGUAGAUAAGAAAAGAAAAGCCAGCAAGGGAAAAGCAAGCAAGGCGAAGGGAGACUAUUGCGCAGCUGAGAGAAUAGACAACUACGACCCCAAAAACAACACGUAUUACAUAAAGUGGCCAGGAUAUGAUGCGUCCCACAACUCAUGGGUGAAAGCGGAAGAUGUAACUUCUCCUCUCAUCUCUUCUUACAAAGAAAAAUUAGGUUCCGGAACGCACAAGAAGUGAUGCACCUCAUGUCUUUCGAUUGUUGAAAAAAUUGAUGUGAAUUUGUGCAAAUCCUCCCGCCUGUGUUUUUUUGUUAGUGGAAUUCACGUAUUUCGGUAUUCCUUCUUCACCUCCACGCAUUAUUCAUUCUGACAUAAACUCACAUGAUCACUUUUGAUGAAAGAUUACAUAAUGGAUAAUAUUGAAUUGGCACAAAUAUAGUAACAAUGUAAACUUAUCAUAUCUUUCAAAGGUCUCAUUAAAAGUAAAUGUAAGUUACAUGUACAUGUACUGUGGAAUUAUUGUUUUUUCAGACAAUCUGUGGCUGUUGUAUACAUGUAUCAUUCAAUAAACGUGGCGUUUUUCAUAUUAUUAGA